rnacentral:lncRNA from 1 species
GAAAACGUGGAGGAGGCUUUGGCUGCGCAGCAGCUCUGAUUUCGUGAGUAUUUAUAGAAGAUGACGUAUUGUAAUCGAUUACAGGUAUUGGUAAUCGAUUACAGGACCAAUAAGCCUACUGGUAAUCGAUUACAGGAUGUUGUAAUCGAUUAUAGGCUGCCUGUUCAUGUGUAAUCGAUUACACUGGAUGGUAAUCGAUUACCAGAGCCUA